AGGGAGAACCAGGAAUUGGGUUCAGAGGUCCUGUAGGUCAGGCUGGACCACCUGGAUUUAAGGGCGAGCCGGGAGCGCCGGGACAUCCAGGAGCUCAGGGCAUCCAGGGCAUCCGUGGCACCGCCGGAAUUCCCGGAUCCCAGGGGGACAGGGGGGCUCCAGGAUUGCCUGGAAUGCCGGGACAGAAGGGGGAACGUGGCAGGAGAGGCCGGACCGGA